rnacentral:rRNA from 1 species
ACGAACGCUGGCGGCGUGCCUAAUACAUGCAAGUCGAACGGUAUUAGGGUUAGGGAAUAGAGGCAAGAAGCGGAGAUAAGAGAUUAUCGAGUUUCUGGUUUCUAAUCUUUGACUCUGAUAUAGUGGCGGACGGGUGAGUAACACGUGAGCAACCUACCUUGUACAGGAGGACAACAGUUGGAAAACGGCUGCUAAUACUCCCAUAAAACCGAGCCGGCACAUGCUGGGACGGUCAAAGGUGAAAGCCGGUACAAGAAGGGCUCGCGUCCCAUUAGCUAGUUGGCGGGAUAACAGCCCACCAAGGCGACGAUGGGUAGCCG